rnacentral:rRNA from 1 species
GUGGGGAAUCUUGCGCAAUGGGCGAAAGCCUGACGCAGCCAUGCCGCGUGGAUGAUGAAGGUCUUAGGAUUGUAAAAUCCUUUCACCGGUGAAGAUAAUGACUGUAGCCGGAGAAGAAGCCCCGGCUAACUUCGUGCCAGCAGCCGCGGUAAUACGAAGGGGGCUAGCGUUGCUCGGAUUUACUGGGCGUAAAGGGCGCGUAGGCGGACAUUUAAGUCAGGGGUGAAAUCCCGGGGCUCAACCUCGGAACUGCCUUUGAUACUGGGUGUCUUGAUUAUGAGAGAGGUGUGUGGAACUCCGAGUGUAGAGGUGAAAUUCGUAGAUAUUCGGAAGAACACCAGUGGCGAAGGCGACUCACUGGCCCAAUACUGACGCUGAGGCGCGAAAGCGUGGGGAGCAAACAGGAUUAGAAACCCCAGUAGUCC